rnacentral:rRNA from 1 species
UCAGACGAUGCGUCAUGCAUAUCAAUAAGCGGAGGAAAAGAAACUAACUAGGAUUCCCUCAGUAACGGCGAGUGAAGCGGGAAGAGCUCAAAUUUGAAAUCUUCAAGGUUUACCUUGACGAAUUGUAGUUUAAAGAAGUGUUUUCUGUUAGAUGGAGUGGUAAAAGUUCUUUGGAAUAGGACAUCAUAGAGGGUGAGAAUCCCGUAUUUGGAUCCAUUCUUCUAGCUUUGUGAUACACUUUCAAAGAGUCGGAUUGUUUGGGAAUGCAGUCCAAAAUGGGUGGUAAAUUUCAUCUAAAGCUAAAUAUUGGCGAGAGACCGAUAGCGAACAAGUACCGUGAGGGAAAGAUGAAAAGAACUUUGAAAAGAGAGUUAAACAGUACGUGAAAUUGUCAAAAGGGAAGCGUUUGACACCAGUGUUGUUUUCUCGAAAAUCAAUUAAAAAGAGUUGGAUUUUGUGUUGUAUUGACCUUAACAGCUUGCUUCACUCUUUUCCUGCUUUUUUUAAUGCACUUUUCGUUUAACAAGUCAACAUCAGUUUCUUUUGUUGUAAAAGGGUCAUUGGAAGGUGGCUUUCUUUCGGAGAAAGUGUUUAUAGCCUUUGCUCUCUGCAAUCGGAGAGAUUGAGGUCUGCAGCGUAGAUCCUUCGGGGUUAGAUACAUUUGUGCUAAGUUAUAGCCUUUCAUAGACAACUUGUUGACUAUGAUCAGUCAUGUAGGCUUACUCGCUUAGUGCUAUUUUACCUACGCUUAGGAUGUUGAUAUGCAUGACUGAUAU